ACCGUUUUUGGAUGCAUGCAUCAUCUAACAGAAAAAAAAGCUCAAAGGCUCGUUUGGUUUGCGAGAAAUAUUUUUUCUCCAAGGAAUAUAAUUUCUGAAAAGCAGAUCACUAGAAAUAGGAUGCUUGAAAAAAUAUUUUGACAUGUUUGGUUGACAAUGGGAAAGUGACAGAUUUGCAGAAUGCUUAUGUUUGGUUAACCAUCUACUUUCUUGUAAAAGUUAUAUGUAAUUUCUAUUAUACCCUUAAUAAAAAUUAGGUCUUUAGUAUCUUUUUAAUGCUGAAGGACCUUUUUGAAAAAAAAAUGGAGUGAUUUUCAGCUCUUAGAAAAGUAAGUUUUCCAUGUUUCCUAUGAAAAAUAUUUUUUUAAUGAAAUGUGCGAAUCAUAUUUUCAUGAAAAUAUAACUUUUUCUUUUAAAAAAAAAUUCCAAUUAAAUAAGAGACAUUUCAUUAUUUUUUUUAUUUUUUUAUUGACUAUAUUUUAUUUUUUUUUCUGGAAUCAAACGGCCCCAAAGUUACCUUGCGUUUCAUGGUAAGACGCACUUGAACCUCGUGGGACAGUGAGAUGCCAUGCAGCCGGAUCCUGACAAGUCUAGUCCUACUUAAAUUAGCUUGCACGCAUGCAUCUCUUAAAGCUCCCAAAGGCAACCGUGUCACGACACACGAGGCCCGCCAGCUAGCCCACAUGCUCCACCUUGUGAGAAAUGGGCACCGGCACCAAUAGUCUAUCUAUUUUUCCUUGGGGAUUUCUCUUGGAAAAUGCAAACGAUAGGGAUGACACGAGAUACACGUGAGAUCCGGCGGGCAAUUUUAGGUUGAUGAUCCUAUGCUUCUUCUUCCCCCUUCAAUUGAGUAGAUAAGCCGCAUUAACAGCGGCUGCAAUGAUUUCCGUGUCGCCAUUCGAAUAGCCACCACCCAUUGGGUCUCACUCAUCCACCACCGAGAUUGCAGGCGGGUGCAAUGGCCACGAGCCUAUUUCCAUCCCCAAAUCUCUAUUAA
rnacentral:lncRNA from 1 species